UUAAAAUGGACCAUCUCUACAGGAUGCUUCAGCUGAUGGAGGUGGCUUAAAACAUACUCAGUUUCCUAAAGUAAAAUCUAAACCAUCUAACUUUGUUUGGAAAGUUUGAAUGCAUCUUAAUACACACCAUACAAAAAAACCCCCAAACCCUAGGUACUUACUUUCAACUUCCUCUACAGUGUUUUAAAAUAUAUUUGCUACAUUUUCUGAAGAUUUUUAUGUCUUCAGUCAUGAUCAGCAACAGACACUACUGCAAAAGACAGCAAAACAGCCCUGCAUUCACAUAAUGAACUCCCAGUGCUUCAAGGCUGUUUGUACAGGCAGAUAUUUGUGCCAGCAGUAAGAUUCUUGCAGGACUGUGGCCUCAGAUUAGAAGUAAUAUAUUAAACAGAAUAAAAAGAACCUGUGAAACAUAAAUGAUCUUGCCAUACAUUUGUUUCUAUUGUUAAUAUAGAUGAGGAUGUUCAUAGCUUCUAAAAGACUACAUUUUUUGCUUCAGCACAAGAAGCUGUUUUAUGUAUGAGCUGUAUGUAAUUAUAUUGAAAACAAACUUUGCUUCAAGAACAUUUUUGGCUCCACUCUGCAAUAACACAAAGGGCCUUUGUUAUGUUCUCAUCAGUGUUAUUUAUGGAUUGCAAAGGACUUACUAAAGGACAGUUUCAUCUGAUGGUAUUCAUCCACUGACCCAAAUUUAAAUGUAGUGACUUAUAUUCAUAUUAAUCAUAAUUACUAAUAUGAUCAACCAGACUAAAAUUUCUGAAACUAGAAAUGGGAUUACUCUAUAGAUUGAGACCUGGAACAGCAAUACAGAGUGGUGUUUCAGACCCAAGGCUUUGAAUGUGCCAGAAUGGAAAAUGCAACAAAAGGCUUUGCAUAAUUCACAUCAAUUACAAUCAUCUUCACUUGAAUUGAAAAUGAAGCUCUUGAUCUCUUAAAAAGAAAAAAAAAAAAAAAAAGGAAAAAGAAAAGUCACAGAGAGAGAACUAAGUAGAUGUUGGGAAAAAGGAACCCCAGAACAAAGUGUGUUUGUAAAUAUCUGCCAGAAGAUCCUAUAGGACAUUAUGAAGCUAGGUAAGGGCACUUUCCUCUGACUUGCCUAAACAGCCAUUAUAUUAAAGGAUUACUUUCAGAAAUCCUUCUUUGCCCAGAUUUUUCCAGCCUGACCUGCAGGACUUGAUGUUCUUCUUCAAACUCAGCAUGACUAUGGACAAGCUCUUUAGGGCCAUAGCCAGACUGCAUGCUGUCAGUACAAAACUUUGUUUUGAAGUGCCAUGGAAUCUAUCCAUAAGAGUGUGCCACACAGCAAUUCAGAACACUAUUUAUACAAGACUGGAGGAUCCAGAUUCCAGAGAAACCGCUGAGGGGCAGCAGGUUUUCACAUGGAAACAGGCUUUCAUGUGUAAGGAAAUCUGGAGCUGUCCCUUCUGUGCUCAGCUGAGGACAAUUUCCAGACAUAGUUUUUCAGUAAUACCUCAGGACAAUCAGAUCUGAGAAGCCAUUAGAGGGCUCCCCUCCCGAGUGCUGUAGCCAUGCACAGAGCCACCUGGAGGCAGUGUUCGCACAGGAUGCUUCAGGCCUCUGCUUGUAAAGUUCAAUUUCCUGAGAUUUCAUAAUUUUUUUCCAGAAAAAAGUCUGGAAAAAAUUAUAUACUGGAAAGCGUGAUUUUUUUAAAAAGCCUUUGCCUUCAUAGGAUACAUCUUUGCUUUUCCAUGUGUCUGUAAUACUGUGAUGCUCCUGUGAAGUGUUUUUUAAUGAAAACCUUUGUAGGAGGAGCCAGCAGGAUAUUCCAGCAUAACAGCUGACAUAAUUGAAAAGAACAUGCAAAAUUUCCUGCGUGGAGCAGAAAAAUAGCACUUCUUGACCUAAAGCAUGACCUAAAGUAUUGUUUUUUCUCUUGAGUAGAACUGACAUAUUUUUUGUUUGUUUGAUUGAUUGACUGUUGGACUGACAGAUUAUAAAUAAAAAUGGAUCAUAGAACUUCCUUCUAGUGUUACAGUUGCCACUUGAUCUCUUUCUUCAAUUGCACAGAAACAAUAACAUGCAAAUAUUUGCAAAUGACUGCCACAAAACAUUCUUGAACCACCCAGCGACAACUGGUAAUGCUUGUAAAGCUUAGUUUGAUUGAUACAUGUUUGCUGUUGCUUUGUCAGUUGUGAGGUAAGUCAUACUUCUCCCCAUUCCAAACAUACGUUUCUCAAUCUGCUUUGAAAUUCUUACUCUCCACUCUGAUAGCAUCAAGUCCUA